CCAUGGGCAGUGUUGCCUGCAUGGAGACCCCAUGGGGCCAUGAGGAUGAGCCAUGUAUUGCAGUGGAGACCCAGUGGAGAUGCCGGGACCACGAGAUGGCUGCUAAUGGAAGCUUCCCACCACAAUGAGGUUUCCCAGGACUGAAACAUCACAGAAACCGAAACACCCAGCACAGAGCUAUUUCUGAGCAAGAUUCCACGAAGAGAAACUGAUUAGGACACACAAAGAUCUAUCAAAAUGCAAACUUUCAGAGGGAUAACCCAAGGCUGCUCGAGAACAUCUGGAGGAGAGGAUGUCAACGCAGCCCUGCUCAGGAAGAGCCAUGCUGCAAGAGAAGGAAGCUCGUCUGCCCCCAACGCUCUCCACACCUUCAGAAGAAGAAGCAGGAAAAGACCAUUUCCCUGAAGGAAGCCCCCAAGAAACAGGCACCCCAAGGCCAGGGCACCUUCCUUCCAGCUGGUGUCACUGGAUGCCCCCUAGCACUAUGCCCUCCUGAGGAGCACAGCGUCCCAUGUGGAGAAUGCUCCCCUGAGGAUGGCAACAUGGUGUCUCCGGCUGGUGACAGAAUGGAAGGGUCUGGGCAGGUGAGCAUCAGACCCUCAUGGUACCCUGAUUGGGGUUCAGUGAUAUCUUUCUACAACAAGUGUUCCUCCAUGCUGAAGGCUGCCUUGGCAGCCAUUUCCUUAAGUGAGCUGUCUGAUGGGGAGAGA